UACGUAGGGUGCGAGCGUUGUCCGGAAUUAUUGGGCGUAAAGAGCUCGUAGGCGGUCCGUCACGUCGGCUGUGAAAACCCGGGGCUCAACUCCGGGCCUGCAGUCGAUACGGGCGGACUAGAGUACUGCAGGGGAGACUGGAAUUCCUGGUGUAGCGGUGAAAUGCGCAGAUAUCAGGAGGAACACCGGUGGCGAAGGCGGGUCUCUGGGCAGUAACUGACGCUGAGGAGCGAAAGCGUGGGGAGCGAACAGG
rnacentral:rRNA from 1 species